ensembl:miRNA
UUAGGUAAUUCCUCUGCUCAAAACCCUCCAGUGACUUCCAUGAUAUGAAUUAGGAAGUCAUUGGAGGGUUUUGAGCAGAGGAAUGACCUGUUUUAAAA